AUUUUCAAAUAAAAUCCAUAAAUCGGUAAAUCCCCGAAUUGAAAAUAAGUGAAUCCCCGGAGAAAAAAAUAUUAAUAGAUCGCGAGCUGGAAUUCAUUCGAAUUAGACAGCAUUUUACGAAAGUAGGGCGUGCGACUGAAUCGAUAAAUUGUUUUAAUUUAAAAGUGAGUGCACUGAACCAAAAAGAAUUAAGGGGAAACAUAGAGCUCAGCAAUUUAAAAAGUCAUGGAUUGAAUUGCCUGAAUAUAAAUCUUGGAUUCAUUCUGUACCUGAAAAUCCAUAUAAAGGAAGACGUACUAUAUCAGAAAAAGCAGUAAUUUCUAAAAUAGAUACAGUUUUUAGAAAUUUUUAUAGGGAAUUUCUACUUUGUUACAUGCAGCGACAAUAUGUAAAUACGACCCGACUAUCAGUAAUUGAUCCGGCAAACCAAACUUUCUUUUUACCAACAAAUCAAAUGUAUCUCGGAGUAGAGAUUUUUAAUGAAAUAAAAAAGCCUGAAAUUUCUCA